AGAGUUUGAUCAUGGCUCAGGAUGAACGCUAGCUACAGGCUUAACACAUGCAAGUCGAGGGGAAACGACAUCGAAAGCUUGCUUUUGAUGGGCGUCGACCGGCGCACGGGUGAGUAACGCGUAUCCAACCUGCCCACCACUUGGGGAUAACCUUGCGAAAGUAAGACUAAUACCCAAUGACGUCUCUAGAAGACAUCUGAAGGAGAUUAAAGAUUUAUCGGUGAUGGAUGGGGAUGCGUCUGAUUAGCCUGUUGGCGGGGUAACGGCCACAAGGCGACGAUCAGUAGGGGUUCUGAGAGGAAGGUCCCCCANAUUGGAACUGAGACACGGUCCAAACUCCACGGGAGGCA
rnacentral:rRNA from 1 species